rnacentral:rRNA from 1 species
CCUACGGGAGGCAGCAGUGAGGAAUAUUGGUCAAUGGUCGUGAGCCUGAACCAGCCAAGUAGCGUGAAGGAUGACUGCCCUACGGGUUGUAAACUUCUUUUAUAAAGGAAUAACGUGAGUCACGUGUGCCUUUUUGUAUGUACCUUAUGAAUAAGGAUCGGCUAACUCCGUGCCAGCAGCCGCGGUAAUACGGAGGAUCCGAGCGUUAUCCGGAUUUAUUGGGUUUAAAGGGAGCGUAGAUGGGUUGUUAAGUCAGUCGUGAAAGUUUGCGGCUCAACCGUAAAAUUGCAAUUGAUACUGGCAGCCUUGAGUACAGUUGAGGUAGGCGGAAUUCGUGGUGUAGCGGUGAAAUGCUUAGAUAUCACGAAGAACUCCGAUUGCGAAGGCAGCUUACUAAACUGCUACUGACAUUGAUGCUCGAAGGUGUGGGUAUCAAACAGGAGUAGAUACCCCUGUAGUC